GAUGAACGCUGGCGGCGUGCCUAACACAUGCAAGUCGAGCGAUUCUCUUCGGAGAAGGGCGGCGGACGGGUGAGUAACGCGUGGGUAACCUGCCCUGUACACACGGAUAACAUACCGAAAGGUAUGCUAAUACGAGAUAAUAAUGCUUUUAUCGCAUGGUAGAAGUAUCAAAGCUUUUGCGGAACAGGAUGGACCCGCGUCUGAUUAGCUAGUUGGUAAGGUAACGGCUUACCAAGGCGACGAUCAGUAGCCGACCUGAGAGGGUGAUCGGCACAUUGGAACUGAGACACGGUCCAAACUCCUACGGGAGGCAGCAGUGGGGAAUAUUGCACAAUGGGCGAAAGCCUGAUGCAGCAACGCCGUCGUGAGCGAUG
rnacentral:rRNA from 1 species